rnacentral:rRNA from 68 species
AAACUUUCAACAAUGGAUCUCUUGGUUCCGGCAUCGAUGAAGAACGCAGCGAAAUGCGAUAAGUAAUGUGAAUUGCAGAAUUCCGUGAAUCAUCGAAUCUUUGAACGCACAUUGCGCCCCCUGGCAUU